UAGGAAAAUGGUAAACGGGGUUGUUGCUGGCCCUCAAUGGGGGCACGUGCACGCUCUGUUUACACAUCCACUCACACCUGUGCACCCUCAGUAGUUCUGUGGUCUGGGGGACCCUGUCUCCCUUCCAUGGUCCUACGUCUUUACACACACACACUGUAACAAGUCCUAUGGAAUGUAUGUCGCGUCUAACGCAAUACAAUACAACUUUCAGCAACGGAUCUCUUGGCUCUCGCAUCGAUGAAGAACGCAGCGAAAUGCGAUAAGUAAUGUGAAUUGCAGAAUUCAGUGAAUCAUCGAAUCUUUGAACGCACCUUGCGCCCCUUGGCUAUUCCGAGGGGCAUGCCUGUUUGAGUAUCUUGAACACCUCAACUCUCAUGGUUUGCCAUGAUGAGCUUGGACCCUGGGGGUUUGCUGGCCUGUAGUCAGCUCCUCUCAAAUGAAUCAGCCUCCAAGUGUUUGGUGGCAUCACGGGUGUGAUAACUAUCUACGCUCGCUGUUGUCUGCCAGGUAACCUUUGGUGACAAAGGUUCACUGGAGCUCACAGAUGUCUCUCCUCAGCGAGGACAGCUUUUUGAACGUUCGAUCUCAAAUCAGGUAGGACUACCCGCUGAACUUAAGCAUAUCAAUAAGCGGAGGAAAAGAAACUAACAAGGAUUCCCCUAGUAACUGCGAGUGAAGCGGGAAGAGCUCAAAUUUAAAAUCUGGCGUGCCUCUGGUCGGCCCAGAAAUAAA
rnacentral:misc_RNA from 1 species